UGCGUAGGGUGCGAGCGUUAAUCGGAAUUACUGGGCGUAAAGCGUGCGCAGGCGGUGAUGUAAGACCGAUGUGAAAUCCCCGGGCUUAACCUGGGAACUGCAUUGGUGACUGCAUCGCUCGAGUAUGGCAGAGGGGGGUAGAAUUCCACGUGUAGCAGUGAAAUGCGUAGAGAUGUGGAGGAAUACCGAUGGCGAAGGCAGCCCCCUGGGUCAAUACUGACGCUCAUGCACGAAAGCGUGGGGAGCAAACAGG
rnacentral:rRNA from 1 species